AAUGAACGCUGGCGGCAUGCCUAACACAUGCAAGUCGAACGAAGCCUUCGGGCUUAGUGGCGCACGGGUGCGUAACGCGUGGGAAUCUACCCUUGGGUUCGGGAAGUAACAGUUAGAAAUAGACUGCUAAUACCGGAUGAUGACGUAAGUCCAAAGAUUUAUCGCCCACGGGAUGAGCCCGCGUAGGAUUAGCUAGUUGGUGAGGUAAAAGCUCACCAAGGCGACGAUCCUUAGCNGGUCUGAGAGGAUGAUCAGCCACACUGGGACUGAGACACGGCCCAGACUCCUACGGGAGGCAGCAGUGGGGAAGUAUUGGACAAUGGGCGAAAGCCUGAUCCAGCAAUGCCGCGUGAGUGA
rnacentral:rRNA from 1 species